GAGAACUUAGCAGAGAUGCUUUGGUGCCUUCGGGAACUCUGAGACAGGUGCUGCAUGGCUGUCGUCAGCUCGUGUUGUGAAAUGUUGGGUUAAGUCCCGCAACGAGCGCAACCCUUAUCCUUUGUUGCCAGCGGCUCGGCCGGGAACUCAAAGGAGACUGCCGGUGAUAAACCGGAGGAAGGUGGGGAUGACGUCAAGUCAUCAUGGCCCUUACGGCCAGGGCUACACACGUGCUACAAUGGCGCAUACAAAGAGAAGCGACCUCGCGAGAGCAAGCGGACCUCACAAAGUGCGUCGUAGUCCGGAUUGGAGUCUGCAACUCGACUCCAUGAAGUCGGAAUCGCUAGUAAUCGUAGAUCAGAAUGCUACGGUGAAUACGUUCCCGGGCCUUGUACACACCGCCCGUCACACCAUGGGAGUGGGUUGCAAAAGAAGUAGGUAGCUUAACCUUCGGGAGGGCGCUUACCACUUUGUGAUUCAUGACUGGGGUGAAGUCGUAACAAGGUAAGCGUAGCGAG
rnacentral:rRNA from 1 species